UGAAUACGAGACGCUAAGGCGUCGAAGUAGUCUAUGUCAUACUUCCAAGAAAAGCUUGCACUGUCAUAGAUAAAAAACGCCUGUACCAUAACCGACACAGGUGGGUAGGUAGAGUAUACUAAGGGGCGCGAGAUAACUCUCUCUAAGGAACUCGGCAAAAUAACUCCGUAACUUCGGGAGAAGGAGUGCCUUAUUCGUAAGGUUGCAAUAACAAGAUCCAAGCAACUGUUUAUCAAAAACACAGGUCUCCGCUAAGUCGUAAGACGAUGUAUGGGGGCUGACGCCUGCCCAGUGCCAGAAGGUUAAAGAAGUUGGUUAGCAAUUGCGAAGCUGAUAACUGAAGCCCUGGUGAACGGCGGCCGUAACAAUAACGGUCCUAAGGUAGCGAAAUUCCUUGUCGGGUAAGUUCCGACCCGCACGAAAGGCGUAAUGAUUUGGAUACUGUCUCGGAGAGGGGCUCGGUGAAAUAGACUUGUCUGUGAAGAUGCGGACUACCUGCACCAGGACAGAAAGACCCUAUGAAGCUUUACUGUAACUUGAAAUUGAAAUUGGACUUUAUUCGCGCAGUAUAGGUGGGAGGCGUUGAUUAUAAUCUUGUGGGAUUAUUGGAGCCAUCAGUGAGAUACCACUCUUGUAAUGUUAGAUUUCUAACUUUGAAUCAUUAUCUGGUCAAAGAACAGUUUCAGGCGGGCAGUUUGGCUGGGGCGGUCGCCUCCUAAACGGUAACGGAGGCGUACAAAGGUUUCCUCUGAACGGUUAGAAAUCGUAUCUAGAGUGUAAAGGCAUAAGGAAGCUUGACUGUGAGACCUACAAGUCGAGCAGGGACGAAAGUCGGUCUUAGUGAUCUGACGGUACUGAGUGGAAAGGCCGUCACUCAACGGAUAAAAGUUACUCUAGGAUAACAGGCUGAUCUUCCCCAAGAGUUCACAUCGACGGGGAGGUUUGGCACCUCGAUGUCGGCUCAUCGCAUCCUGGGGCGGUAGUACGUCCCAAGGGUUGGGCUGUUCGCCCAUGAAAGCGGUACGCGAGCUGGGUUCAGAACGUCGUGAGACAGUUCGGUCCAUAUCCGGUGUAGGCGUUAGAAUAUUGAGAGGAGCCUUCUUUAGUACGAGAGGACCGAGAAGGACAUACCUCUGGUGUACCAGUUAUCGUGCCAACGGUAAACGCUGGGUAGCUAUGUAUGGAGUGGAUAACCGCUGAAAGCAUCUAAGUGGGAAGCCCACCUCAAGAUAAG
rnacentral:rRNA from 1 species